UACGUAGGGUGCGCGCGUUGUCCGGAAUUAUUGGGCGUAAAGGGCUCGUAGGCGGUUUGUCGCGUCGGGCGUGAAAACUCAGGGCUUAACCCUGAGCCUGCUUCCGAUACGGGCAGACUAGAGGUAUGCAGGGGAGAACGGAAUUCCUGGUGUAGCGGUGAAAUGCGCAGAUAUCAGGAGGAACACCGGUGGCGAAGGCGGUUCUCGGGGCAUUACCUGACGCUGAGGCACGAAGGCCAGGGGAGCAAACGGG
rnacentral:rRNA from 1 species